GGCUGUAUGGCCAAAUGGUAAGGUGUCGGUCUCGCAAACUGAAGAUCGCGGGUUCGAAUCCCGCUGGAGCCU